UACGGGGGGGGCAAGCGUUGUUCGGAAUUACUGGGCGUAAAGGGCUCGUAGGCGGUUAACUAAGUCGGACGUGAAAUCCCCAGGCUCAACCUGGGAACUGCGUCCGAUACUGGAUGGCUUGAAUCCGGGAGAGGGAUGCGGAAUUCCAGGUGUAGCGGUGAAAUGCGCAGAUAUCAGGAGGAACACCAAUGGCGAAGGCAGCUCGCUGGGACGUGACUGACGCUGAGACGCGAAAGCGUGGGGAGCAAACAGG
rnacentral:rRNA from 1 species